rnacentral:rRNA from 1 species
GCUUAACACAUGCAAGUCGAGCGGUAACAUGACUAGUAGCAAUACUAGUUGAUGACGAGCGGCGGACGGGUGAGUAACACGUAGGAACUUGCCCAGUAGUGGGGGACAACCAAGGGAAACUUUGGCUAAUACCGCAUAUUCUCGAGCGAGGAAAGCUGCCGCAAGGUGGCGCUAUUGGAGAGGCCUGCGUCCGAUUAGCUAGUUGGUAGGGUAAAAGCCUACCAAGGCGAGGAUCGGUAACUGGUCUGAGAGGACGACCAGUCACACAGGGACUGAGACACGGCCCAGACUCCUACGGGAGGCAGCAGUGGGGAAUCUUGGACAAUGGGGGCAACCCUGAUCCAGCGAUGCCGCGUGAGUGAAGAAGGCCUUCGGGUCGUAAAGCUCUUUAGGCUGGGAAGAAGGUUGGUAGUUUAAGAGAUAAUCAAUUUGACUGUACCAGCAGAAUAAGCACCGGCAAACUCUGUGCCAGCCGCCGCGGUAA